AGAAAGAAAGUGAGAAGUCCAAAAGAAAAAGAAAAAGGCGAGGCAGAGAGCAACAAAAGAGCCAGCUAUUCGCCCUUGCCAACUUCUUCGUUUAUUUAUUUGUUUCUUUCUUUUGUUCGGUUGAUUUUGUUUGUUU
rnacentral:ribozyme from 1 species